GGGAAUCUUUGAACUUGAUUACCAAGGAGAUGGGAUGAUAAAUCCAUCCAGCCACUCCAAGAAGCCAAGUUAAGACCCUGCAACAAAGGGAAUUCAAAGACUUGAGCUGUCCAUUGAGAAAGAUCUGCUGCUUAAGUUCAAGUUCAUGUCCUCCAGAUGUUUCCCCCAUCCUCCAGGGUCACUGCCUUCUUGUCGAACUUGAAUCUGCCUUCAAUUUAUUAAUGGAUCUGGUUGGUGGCAUCCACUGUUUACCAAGAGCCUUUCUACAAUCCACACUACUGGACUAACGCUUUCCCCUACUUCACUCUACUCUCAAGGGAUGGAAGCACUGAUGAAGAGCACAGACAGAAUCAAGUGUACAUGCAGAACAUAUGGUAACCAUAUAAAGGGAUGAUGUCAAAAUUCUCAGCCUCCUUGCUCUUCAGUAUCUUCUUCCCCUUUACCUCGUCUGGAUGGUGUAUAAUGAAGAGGCACCUAGCGGUGCCUCCUGCCUCUAGAGUAAGAUUCAAGGGAGGAUAUAUAGGCUCCUCCAUAGGGUCAAGAGGUUUUCAAAGGCUGUGUUGUCCCAUCCAGCUACCAAAACAAGAGACAAAAUUGUGACCUGGAGUUGAAACUCUAGUGAGUGAUAAAGAGGGGAAGUUUCCUAAAGCAGAAGUUCUCAGUCUGGGGGCUAUCUGUGUGUUGUGUACUGAAUUUUGUGUCCUCCCAAAAUUCAGACGUUGAAGCCCUAGUCCCCAUUGUGGUUGUAUUUGGAGGUGGGGCUUUGGGAGAUGAUUAGAAUUAGAUUAGUUCAUGAAGGUGAAGCCCUUCUGAUGGGAUUAGUACCCAUACAAGAAGAGACACAAGAUCCCUCUACCAAUUAUGCUAGCUCUCCUCUCUUUCUCUCUCCACCGUCUGGGAUACUUCAGGAAGAUGUCUGUCUGCAAACCAGGAAGAGGUCCCUCAAGCACUAAAUCUGCUGGCACCUUGAUCUUGGGCUUCCCAGCCUUUAGGACUGUGAGAAAUCUUUGCUGUUUAAGCAAUCCCAUCUAUGGUAUUUUGUUACAGCAGCCCAAGCUGACUAAGACACUGUGGAUACCUUGCAUGCCUGGGAGGCUUGCACAUCCUUGGACAUUAUAAGUAAUAUUUUUCUGAAAAGGGGUCAUAACUCUCAUCGGAGAGUCAAAAGACCAAGUCUAUGACUCCCAAAAGAUUAUAUACCACUGACGGAGUGGCCCUUGUGUUCUUAUCCUGUAGAACCACAAGAAACUUGAGGAUUGGGGAUCCUAGUCCUGGCCUUCAUUCCGUACUUGCAUGACCAACAUCUAAGAGUACUAACAAAUAUGAUGAAAUAAGAAAGAUUCAAGAGGAUACACAUAUUUUCUUUGUCCAAUGUUGCUAAUAUCCACCUGAGAGUUUAUUAUCCAUAAUAAAAUGUGGAAUCCAGUCUGUACACCAUGAUCCUUAGCAUGCACUUGUACUGUUUCCUAUAAGCUUUUAAUAAUAUCAACCUUAGAUUCCAAGGAACCUAAAUCACUGGGCCUAACACUACCACUGAUUUUUUCCCCACUUCCCCUCCAGUAUUAUGGUGUAUUCCAAAGCCAAAUAUAAUUUUUUGGUGGCUCGUUGUGAUUAAUUUCUGUUCCACUGAGCCUAUCCAUAGAACAGGCAAUGCAACUUUGGAAAAAACGGUAGUCUAACUUAUUUUUGCAUCAUAUAGACUGUACAGCAAAGGUGAAGGGACCAAUAUGAGUAUUACUGGGGCACCGAGGGAAAACAUUUUCAGAAGAGAUCAAGAAAAAUGUGACUCAACAUGAAUGAACCCUGAAAACAUUAUGCUAAGUGAAAGAAAGCAAACGUGAAAGACCAUACGUUGUAUGAUUCCAUUUACAUGAAAUGUCAAGAAUAGGCAAAUCCAAAGAAACUAAAGUAGAUGAGUGAUUGCCAGGGGAUAAGGGAAGAGAGAAAGGGGAGUCACUGCUAAUGGACAUGGGCUCUCUUUUUGGGGUAAUGAAAAUGUUUUGAAAUUAGAUAGUGGUAGUGGUGUACAACUCUGUGACUGUACCAAAAACCACUGAGUUGUACAAUUUUAAAGGCUGAAUUUUAUCAUAUAUGAAAUAUAUCUCAGUUUUUAAAAAGAAGAAAAAAGAUGUUAUUCAAAAAGGAUUCCUCACAGUUAUAGCUCAGUCACUUAUUUGGCAAUUAAUUUGGGGGCACAGUCUUGAGAUAGUUCUAUGUAUAGGUCCAUGCUGCUUAAACUCCCUGACUCCACCUCAGCCAAUGGAUAUUAUCUUACUGGCUUUUCUGUUU
rnacentral:lncRNA from 1 species